rnacentral:pre_miRNA from 1 species
CAAAUACUCCCCCUGUCCAGAAAUACUCGUCGGAGGAAUGGAUGUAUCCAGAUGUAUUUUAGUUUUACAUACAUUUAUUUUUAUGCAUUUCUUCGACAAGUAUUUUUGGAUGGAGAGAGUACAUU